rnacentral:rRNA from 1 species
GACGAACGCUGGCGGCGUGCUUAACACAUGCAAGUCGAACGGAAAGGCCCUGCUUUUGUGGGGUGCUCGAGGUGCGAACGGGUGAGUAACACGUGAGUAACCUGCCCUUGACUGUGGGAUAACUUCAGGAAACUGGGGCUAAUACCGGAUAGGAGCUCCUGCUGCAUGGUGGGGGUUGGAAAGUUUCGGCGGUUGGGGAUGGACUCGCGGCUUAUCAGCUUGUUGGUGGGGUAGUGGAUGACCAAGGCUUUGACGGGUAGCCGGCCUGAGAGGGUGACAGGACACACUGGGACUGAGAUAAGGCACAGACCAGUAUGGGAGGCAGGAGUGGGGAAUAUUGCACAAGGGGCGGAAGCAUGAUCUAGCAAAGCAGCGUGCGGGAUGACGGGAUUGGGGUUGUAAAGCGAUUUCGCCUGUGACGAAGCGUGAGUGACGGUAAUGGGUAAAGAAGCACCGGCUAACUACGUG